rfam:Faecalibacterium prausnitzii A2-165 genomic scaffold Scfld2, whole genome shotgun sequence.
AGAAACAGAGGACGGAACAGGCAGCCGUCGCCCGGUGUUAGGAGAUGCGGGAAACGUCAACCCGCCUGUUUCU